AUUGAACGCUGGCGGCAGGCUUAACACAUGCAAGUCGAGCGGGGGAGGUUGCUUCGGUAACUGACCUAGCGGCGGACGGGUGAGUAAUACUUAGGAAUCUGCCUAUUAAUGGGGGACAACAUCUCGAAAGGGAUGCUAAUACCGCAUACGCCCUACGGGGGAAAGCAGGGGAUCAAUUGUGACCUUGCGUUAAUAGAUGAGCCUAAGUCGGAUUAGCUAGUUGGUGGGGUAAAGGCCUACCAAGGCGACGAUCUGUAGCGGGUCUGAGAGGAUGAUCGUCCACACUGGGAAUGAGACACGGCCCAGACUCCUACGGGAGGCAGCAGUGGGGAAUAUUGGACAAUGGGGGGAACCCUGAUCCAGCCAGGCCGCGUGUGUGAAGAAGGCCUUAUGGUUGUAAAGCACUUUAAGCGAGGAGUAGGCUCUUUUGGUUAAUACCCAAGAUGAGUGGACGUUACUCGCAGAAUAAGCACCGGCUAACUCUGUGCCAGCAGCCGCGGUAAUAC
rnacentral:rRNA from 1 species